AAACAAACACCCCAUCUCAGCCCUCCAUUUCAAGGGCUGAGAUUAAAUCCCACUUCAUCCCCAAAAAACUAUCACCUCUGCCCCCUUCUCCCGUUCUUCUCACGUCAGACGUGUUCUGCCGACUCACCCCCAUCCCUCCACCUCCCUCCACUCCGAUAGACGAUCGAUGAGACCCCGCCACCGCCGACCCACCAUCUACCUCUCCCUCCCUCUCUCUCUCUCUCUCUCUCUCAAGGAAAGGUCGAAGAAAUGGAGGGGAAGGUCCAAGCAAGGUAAAAUUGCGAAAAUCGAAUUCGCCCACCACCGAAGCUCCAUUGUCAAGGUCUCUCCUCCUCCUCAUCUCUCUCUCUCUCUCUCUCUCUCUCUCUCUUUGUCGAUGAGCCCUAGAUUUUCCAUUUUACAGUUCCAAAAUUGGAUACCCCAAAAAUUAGGGUUUGUGUACACUACGAAAUUGGGGAUUUUUUGCGGUCAGUUUGAUUGGCUAAAUUUGAUGAGUUGAUUGUAAAAAUAGAUACCAAGUAAAACAAUUGCCAAAUUUCCUACUUGCAUUUCCGAUAUUGGAGUUGGCGCCAACUACCAGUUCACAUGUAGCUGAACUUAAAUGUUUUGGUUCUUAGUUCUGUAGCUUCUGCAUCGAUUAAAUUGUUUUUGGAUGGAUAGAUUCUAAAAUGAAUGGGCCUAAGUAUUGUCAUUGACAGUAGAAUCUCAUGUUUGCAUUCAUUCAUACUAUCUCCUGUGUUCACAUUCUGAUGUUUCAGUUAGUUCUCCCCUUUUUAAAACAUUUUCUUGAUCUAAUCUACAUUUUCCAUUUCAGCAACUUUACAUGAUCUGAACUGGUAGUAUGUGGUUCUAAAUUAAUUUAGGAAGUGUUAGUCACCUUUCUGACAAGAAUUGACUCCACCAGGUGUUUUAGGUCGUCAAAAAGAUUGGCAGCUUUCAAGAUGAAUUAUAGCAUGAUACACAUUUUACUGAGCUUUGUGUUUUUUGGUGGACAAAAUUAUGGUAGGUCUGCCAUCUGUGGAGAGUAGGGAAAUGAUCUUGAACACUCUUUUAAGGAAGGAAAAAGUUGAAAAUCUAGACUUUAAGGAGCUUGCAAACAUGACAUAAGGAUUUAGUGGAAAUGAUCUAAAGAAUUUGUGCAUCACAGCAGCGUAUCGUCGACCUGUUAGGGAGCUAAUACAACAGGAGAGACUAAAGGAUCUGAAAAAGAAGAAAAAUGAUGAAGAAGGGCAGAGCAAGGAGGAUGCUUCAGAUGCAAAAGAAGAAAGUAAAGAGGAAAGAGCAAUUAUUCUUUCCUUUUUACUGCAGCAAGCAAAGAGGCUAGCAAAGAGGCUGUUUGAAGAUGCACCAACCAAAGAGGACUGCCUGUUGUUUUGGGAUUUUUUUUUUUUGUAAUCUGGAUAAAUAGAGCUGUCUGAAUUGGAUUGGAUGGAGCUAGUUUUUUGUUGGGGCUGAUAAUAGAGCUAUGUUUUUUGUUGGCUGUAUUUUGACACUUAAUGGUUGUUCCACUCAAGUAUUGUUCUCCGGAAAA